UCCGAAGGGGGCUAUCGUUGUUCGGAUUUACUGGGCGUAAAGCGCGUGUAGGCGGAUCGUUAAGUCGGGGGUGAAAGCCCAGAGCUCAACUCUGGAAUUGCCUUCGAUACUGGCGGUCUGGAGCAGAGAAGAGGCGAGUGGAAUUCCGAGUGUAGAGGUGAAAUUCGUAGAUAUUCGGAGGAACACCAGUGGCGAAGGCGGCUCGCUGGUCUCUUGCUGACGCUGAGACGCGAAAGCGUGGGGAGAAAACAGG
rnacentral:rRNA from 1 species